GUUUUAACACCCUCGCUCUCAACACUGUUUGGACGCGGGAAUUCUGCUGGAAGACCCUCCGCCAGGCAAGUGCUUCCUCCAAUAUGGUGGUCGUUCCCAGCGGCAAUAGACUCAGCUCCCUUCCCCCAUGUAAGAUUGUUGGGGUGGCGGUGACGCAUCGUUCAUGGCGAGGUUCUGCAGUAGUUGUGGGGGCGCCCUUCACUUGGAGGUGAGUUUCGUCACAUUGUCACUGAGAGGUCUUGACUGUUGAUUACCUUGAAGGAAACGUGAAGGAAAUGCGAUCUUCCACGAGUCUCAGUAUUCAGUGGAAGUUAUGAAAAAAAUACUGUCAGGUGAGUGUAUGAUGAUUUCUUUGCUUAAACUUCCCGCCCUUUGAUGCAUAGCAGGUGGCGACCCGCAGCGGCCGCCACUCACUGUGUGUGUUAUGUCUUGACGGGGUGCCGGUGUUUGGCCGCUGCUUCCGCUCCUCGCUUCAUUGCGCUUCUUAAUGGACAAUUCAAGGACUCCCAAGGCCGUGCAGUGCCGGUGAGGGCGCCGCAUGUGCACCUGUGUCGAGGAAACUUUGGAGGAGACAGAGGCCCGCGCUGCUCGCCGACGCCGCCGCCGCCGCCGCCGCCGCCCUGCACAAGGCCCAGCAGAAGACAGACCAAGACUGAAAACAUGAAAAACAAAUGCAAGUCACACUAAUUUUCUCUCAAAAAAUAAUGAUGAUGACUAUGAUGAUGAUAACGACGACGACGAAGUUUGCUGCUCUGAGAAAAAAAAAAAAAAAAGAAAGAAAGAAAAAGAAAGCGAAUAAAAGAACUUCUAGUCAGGUUAGGUCUGUCAGUUUAAUUCCGUAGUUGUCUUAAUACUCCUCUGCUGAAGCACUGCAAGCCAUGGGACAUAAGCAAGGCAGAGUCACGCAGAGACAUCCAGAGUCCAACAGCGAAAAAGGACGUACGAACUAAGACCGCACUGAGUGACCCUCGCAGCAGUAAGGUGGACAGGACAGGUGUAACUAAUUAUAAAGUCUUGUGCAGCAAAAUUGACAAUAAUUCAGAA